AACGAACGCUGGCGGCAGGCCUAACACAUGCAAGUCGAGCGAGGACUUCGGUUCUAGCGGCGGACGGGUGAGUAACGCGUGUGAAUGUUCCCUUCUCUACGGAAUAGCCCUGGGAAACUGGGAGUAAUACCGUAUACGCCCUAUUGGGGAAAGAUUUAUCGGAGAAGGAUCAGCCCGCGUUGGAUUAGGUAGUUGGUGGGGUAAUGGCCUACCAAGCCGACGAUCCAUAGCUGGUUUGAGAGGAUAAUCAGCCACACUGGGACUGAGACACGGCCCAGACUCCUACGGGAGGCAGCAGUGGGGAAUCUUAGACAAUGGGGGCAACCCUGAUCUAGCCAUGCCGCGUGAGUGAUGAAGGCCUUAGGGUUGUAAAGCUCUUUCAGCUGGGAAGAUAAUGACGGUACCAGCAGAAGAAGCCCCGGCUAACUCCGUG
rnacentral:rRNA from 1 species